GGGCCAGUUCACAGAUUGUCCUCACUCAGUCAGGCCCAGAAAUGAAAAAGCCUGGAGAAUCUGUGAGGUUAACCUGUGCCACAAAAGGUUUUGCUCUUAGCAGCUAUUGGAUGAACUGGGUCCGGCAGUCUCCGGGGAAAGGGCUGGAAUGGCUGGUUCGCUAUUACAACCCAUCCAGCAACUACUACUCCCCAACCAUCCAAGGGCGUUUCACUGCCUCCAAGGACAGCACCAACCUUUAUCUUCAAAUGAACAGCCUGAAGCCAGAAGACACUGCCGUCUAUUACUGUGCCAGAG